AAGUGCACCGAGCGCUUCAGGGGCAUACUAAUUCGCCUGAUGUGUAUUAGCUCCCCAUGUCUGCCAUUCAACACAAUGACAGUAAUUCGGAAGAAAGGUGAAAACAAGUCUAAGCCUGAUUGCUGACACCCAGUCGGCACAGAAACUGAUAUUUAACUCAAGUUCUGUGCUAGGUGAGAUUUAGGACCAGGACCAAACGUCUGCAGCAUGAACAGCAUGCUUCCAGAUACUUGAACGACGGCUUGCAGUUUAUGAAAUGAACUUGCAACUUGUUUUACAGUGAGUAUCGGCACCUACAGCUUCGAGGAUUUGAUCGUCUCGUCAAAAAAACAGAUGCAAAAAUCUCGAAACAAGAGGAACUUUCUUUCUUCCCGUUUCUCCCUGCAGAAGUGUCUUAUUCAGGUUUCAGUCUCAAACAUGUUUGUUUCUAGUGCAGAGUCCAAUUCCCACACAUCGUUGAUAUUCACCCUUGAAAGCAAAUAGUUCAAGGAAACGUUUGGGCCCUCUGAGAAAUGGCUUACUUACUGACUUACCCUUCAUUCCAAGAGGCGGCAUCAUGACUCAGAAAAACACCCUGUCACUGGUUGCUCCGUGCGCCUUGUACGGGAUUCAGCACCUCUCCUAGACUUUUUGUCAUGCCUGCAGUAGGGGCCAUUAUAAACCUGAUUUAUUCGGCAUGCUGCUGUGAGCACACCCAUCUGUGAGCUGACUGUAAAACUGAUUCAUGCAAAGGAUCAAUUUCCUUUUGAUGGUUCUAUUUGUCUGUAUUCCUGCACGCUACGAAUAAGUGUUGCAAGAAAUGUGAAAUGAGAUCUCAUUUUCCGCAUGGAUCCAUCAUAUGCUACAUGCCUUGGCAUGAUAUAGUAUCGUUAUUGUACAUCAGCCGUCUAAUUUUAGCUACGUCUCGCUACCGAAAUACAAAUUGCAUCUUCUGCUUCAUUGCGUCGGUGUCUCACUUCCAACCGCAGACCUAUUUUCAAUACUUUUUUAUUUGUUUAGUGUCAUCUUUUGUAAUAAAAUAUUCAUCGUGUUGUAUGAGGAGAUAUCUAUGCAUGAGCAGCGGAGAACCAAGCAAACAAGCUUUAAAGGACCAGACUAAGACAGGAUUCUUCAUUCAAGUCCCAUUCGCUGCUAUCUUAGUGUAUUAGCAUCCUUCAAAUGCAGGCUGUAUCUCGACUUUUGUCUUCUGUCUCUCCCCAUCUUUCCUCCCCCGGUGCCAGCUCACAGCCCACAUGUAAUACCGAGGAAGAAGGAGAAAAAAAAAAAAACUAAGACCAAGAUGUCUGGUUUAUUUUCACUCUCAGAAACAUGACAGAUGAAAAAUAGAGGGAGAGAGAAAACAUUCUAGGCAGUGGCGACAGCUUUGAAACCUUGGAGAGCCCGCUGCAACCAAUCUCGGCUUCACAGGCACGCGGCGGUGCACUGUGGGAAGUCGGGCGGCGCGCUGCGUUUCAGGAGGGGAGAGAGGGAGAGAAUGAGGGAAAAUGGCAGCAAAUGAAGUUGGCGGGCUGCGGAGUAUUGUUCCCCCCUGCUCGCGGUAAUGAACAGGCCUUCGGAACAGACUGGGGAAAUUGGUCCCCGGUGGGCCCUGAGCCUUUCUCAUCUGUCAGUGAGAAGGAGCGAGAGAGAGACAACUCGAGUGACGGAGUGGCUGCGUCCAGGGUAGGAGCCAGACACUGCAGAGAAAUCACACUUGUUUAGGCUCCACAACAUCCCGGCGGCUAUAGUCUCCGACAGAGGACCUGAAGUCACCUCCCGAGUAUGGAAGGAGUUCUGCACAAUGCUGGGUGCUAAGGUGGAGUUGUGGGCAGUGCCCUGGCCUGAUGUUCCACCUUUUUGAGCAGAGCUGCCCUACUUUCUGAUCCAGCCUGCACACCUGCUUCCCAUUUACUCAUCACUCCUCUGGAUAAAAGGCCAGCUGAAACCUCGACUCUUUGCCAGAUUGCUGUCAUCGUUGUGGUGGUACUCAGACUCUCUACCUAACUUGGUUGGUAGAAAACACUUGUUUUGCAAGUGCUUACUGUUACUUGACCUUGUUCUCUUAUCUCUGCUUCUAGUUUUUCUUUGGCUGGAUUAACGUUUGUCUGCAAACUAGAGAAAUUCCUGAAGUUGGAUUACUUGCAGACCAAAAUCUGGCAAUCCCCCAUCGAUGCCCACCCUGGAAAACUUACCUUCCUACUCUCAACUGCUUCAGUCAUCCAGAAAAAAAACCCAUACCUACUUUAUACUUACCCAUAUCUAAACAAUCCUUGCUUUUGUCAAUAAGAAUAAAACUUGCAUUAGUCUUUUGGGUCUUGCUGUUUAGUUUACUCUUUCUGGUGAUUUUGACAGUUUGUUGUUUCCACCUUUAACAGGUACAGCUUUCUGACAUAUUUUGCAAAGUGUUGUUCUUUGUUGGGAGUCUGACCCUUUGUACCUCCCUUUUUACACAGUAAGUCAUCAGAGGCCAUCACAGUGCUCUCCCUCUCAGACAUGUUUGUGCUUGUCUCAUUCAUGUGUAUGCUACGGGAUAUAAUGAUGUCAUUGAAUGACACUGUUUUAUUACGGGGAAAAAAAUUAGUGUAAUCAGAGGUAGCACUGUGGAUGUAUGGCACAGCCCUGAUGUCCCUGUUUAUAUUAGACUUUUUUUGGUCCAGUGUGCACUUUGCAGUUGCACUUUGCUCUCUGCAUUCUAUCCAAACAGCAAGUAUACAUUAAAACAUCAGCAACAUCAUAAUGAAUAGAAAGACUUAAGGAAUGGGAUAGCACUAUAGUGCUAUCUUUGUAAUCAAUAAUCAAGUGCAUAUGAGGAAAUUGCUAUAUAAUGGGGAUAUUGUCUGAGUGGGGAAAAUCACUAAAAAUCUGUAAAACCAACAGCGUAUUUAGUUAUGGUCUAUAGUUUUAUUGAUCCUCUCUGUGUGAGUUGCUGAAUGAUCCUGGAUCAUCCCCAAAGGUCCACUUCUGUAUAAUUUAAAUUCAUACAGCGUCCACCAAUGACAUGCCCUGUCAUGCGAGAUGGUGAGUUGCUCUGAGAGUUAAUAUUCCCUAUUGGAAUCCCCAAUGUCCAGUCCCACAGUCUAUACUGACUCAAUAUGCGAGAAGCACAAUUACAGCAUAAAAUGCUUAGUCAUUUGAGAUCUUCAAGGAUUCCUGAAAAUAACACUGUUUUGAUGUGUCGGACUUUGAGCACACACGGGUGGCUGUUUUAUGAGGGCCAGGAGAUGAAAGACAAAGAGGUCUGAAUGUGUGAUAGGAAGGCAGGGCAGCGAUUCCCUUUCAGGUUUGUUUCAGGCCACCUGCUGGGUCCUCCAAACAAAGCCCCACAUGGCAGAUCAAAGCACGUCACCAUCACUUUGUUUUGUUGAGGUUUCAUACAAUUAGCAGUUUAUUUAUGGGCGAGGAAUCCAUGUGGCAAUAUUAGCAGCUAACUGACUUGAGCCAGUGUCAGAAGUCCUUUUGUAUGAGGCAGCUGCGUAUUCAUUAAACACUGAUUACUGGGUAAGUAAACCAAAUCACAACGUGAAAAAGCUUUUAGGUUUUAUUCUCAUAUUGCGUUGGUCAUCUUUAGAAAUAUGUAACUAGGUUUCUAAAGGACAACCUGUUUAAAUCUUACAAUAAAUAUGGUAUCUGUAUAAAAAUUGGACAAAGCAAGAGUUUUCCAAGAGCUCUAUCCAUUUGUCUUCUGGUUCUCUUGGAUUGCUUUAAGGCUUUACAACCUUAACUGAGUGAAUAAAUAGCCGUCACACUCCCCAAAUAGUGUGAUCGCCUGUCACAGCCCUUCACAUCCAUUUGCUUUAUUGGACGUGGCUCACGCCUCCAGAUAUUUAUAUCUUUUUACAGUCAUGUACUGUAGUGGCUAACAAAAAAAGAACAGAGGAAGGAAAGCAGUGAAGGAGAAAGAGGAGACAGGAAGGCUAGGCAGGCAGCUAGACAAGUAAUGGUGUGAAAUAAAGAGGAGGGAUGUGUGGAGCUUUGGCUGGGGACAGCCUCCAGAUCCAUCUUGCCCUGCUUAAAACCCUAGCGCCUGGGUAAUGGCUGCGCGGCAGGUGCUUUCAGAGGUUACGGCACAGGAGAUGAGGGAUCUAGGAGUAGGGAGGCCAAACUGAGAGGUGAUUUCCACAGCAGAGGCCUCUUCAUUUUGGGGGGAGAGGAGAUGUCGGCAUUGCUGCUGCUGCUGGAGCCUGGAGGGAAAACAAGCAAAUUGCUCCCCACAGGAACAGGGCACCGGCAACAAACUGCAUCUGAGAUGAUAUAAGAUGUUACCUGUUCCAUGGCCCUCUGUUGUUUUCAUGUAUCUCUGCACACAUGAAACAUUAAUUUGAUCCAUAGAUGGUUGUAUCUACUCUUUUCUUAACCAUCCAUUUAUCCAUACAUGCAUGCGCUAUGAAGGAAAAAAUAGAUCUCCAACUGGUGUAUAUAAUACACACACAAAAAAAGAUAUAUAGUUGUAUACAAAACCAACUGCAUCCCACAGCACCAACUUAUUUAAUGAGGUGACCGUGUUGACUAGAAUAGAUGGAGUCCCAGGCACAUGGUAAAUGAUACAGCCGUGUGUGUGUGUGUGUGUGUGUGUGUGUGUGUGUGUGUGUGUAAUUCCUCUUCUGGUUUUUGUGUGAAAAAUCACUGAUUCCUUUGCUUUAGGUCAAAAGGCAGUUGUUUCAAGCAUACAAGCCAACCUUUACAGAACGUCUGUGGUGUGGCAUGACAAAGGCAUUGGUUCUACAUUUAAAUCAAAGGUUGUAUACUGGAAGAAGACAAGGUCUGCCAUUAAAGCUGUCAUCUUGCAUUGUGAACAAAGCAGGUAAACCUCUGUGAGCAGAACAAAUGCAACACUGGAUUCGCCCCUGCUUCCCUGAUAGGAGGACGUACUGCUGCUGCAAAGCUGUUAAGUCCACUCAAGGUUUAUCCCUUUCAGUGGUAAAUAAUAUCUUCAGCUUCUCAGCAGCAAGAACCCCUUGCUGAAUGUCGCUCAAUACUUGAGUGAGAUUCAGUGCAUUUACCUGAAUCAGCUCUAGCCAUCUUGCAUUUGUUAAAGGCUCUUUGGCACCCCCCGAGUAUGGUUGAAGGUAAUUGAAUUGAGCUCAUUCUUUGUGCUGAUUUCUUAUGUUAGCGAAAGGGACUUGGGGAGGAAAGGCAUUCUCAGAAUGAGGCUUUUUUUUUUUAAUUAAUGCAAAGGCUAUUCAUGAAAGGGAUUAUGAAAGUCAUAUGCAAAGCUGAAAGGGGAGAGAAAAAGGCAGCAGGAGGCACUAGGAUCAUAUUUUCUGUAGAGAUCUGUAGCCUGUCCAUGAGUUUCAUGCUCCCUCACUGCUAUGGGGAAGAAUGUUUUCCCCUGAUACGAGCAUUUAUCCGGUUUUAGACUUAAGCUUGCUACUGUUAUAAUAACCUCUUUUAAAUCUGCUCUAAAUUGUUUCUCAAUGAAACAGGCAGAACCAAAGCCGUAACAAUCAUGUCUUUUUUUUUUCACUUUAAUGAAAAAUGUCGUCAAUGAGUAGAAGAAGAAACAAGAAAUGACAUGAAGAAAUUUUUUGCUGUUUUGAAUUCUCUGUUUAUUAACAUGGAGAUGCAACAGCUGUGUGUGAGUACUACUGUUUACAGUUACUGCACCAUAGUGUCCUUUUGAAUGUGGUUACUUUACUGCUCAGUGACCUGCAGAGCCGAGUAAAGCAGAGGAGCUGGAAAAGGGAGUUGGCAUGGUGAUGAUUUUCGCUGUCCAUUUCCUCACUACAUUAGAUGUCAAAGGGGCACAAAAGAUCUUCCUAUCAGUCCUAACAGCCUGUUCUUUUGCCCAAGGCGUCAAAUGCUGCCCGUCACUGACAUCUCACAGUAGACACAAGGUGUCUAGUGGAGGUAUCUGUGUUGUGGCUCACCGCAUUAUGGAAGAAGUAACAGAGGUCUGUCAAUCCUACAGAUAUACAUAUAGAAUCCAAAUUAGGAAUUAAGAAAUAUGUAAAGUUAAGAUUUUUUGGUGGGCAGACAAGCACCACCUAGUUCAGCUGACUGCCUCUCAUCACAUUAGCCGCUGGUGGGAAUUUAAAACUGAAAUCUGUGUAGCUCACACAGAGCCCAGCUCAAAGUUCUGAACCUUCAGCCAUCUUUAAUUGAUGUCGAUGUACCAGAGGGGCAUUUGUGGAUUAAAUGAGUCCACUGAAAACGAGAAUUAGAAUUCUAAACUGUGAAACCCAGUGUAAGAAUCAGCAAAACACUUGUGAGCCUUGGGCCUCUCUUAAAUGUGUGAAAUGAAUAUUAUAUAAAGGCAUAAAAUAUCCCUAUUAGAGCAAUAUGAAAUUGAAUUGCUAAUAGAGACAGUAAUAGAUUUAAAGAGUCACCAGGGAGAUCCAUGUUUUCUGUGACAUGUGUGGAAAUGCACCAGAACACAGAGCAGAAGUCUUUAAUAGCAAUACUGACGGCUUCUACUAAUUCAGUAGAAUUUUAGUUAAAAAAAAAAAA